GUGCCGAAUGAAAAGCCCCGCCCAAUCUCCAUCGGUGGAUGGUCAAAAGUGAAACAGAGUCGAUGGGUUUCUUGCGCUCUCAGAUCGUUAUUAUUCUCGUCGGGGUCCAGAAAAGGAGUGGCCUCUCGACUCCGGACAUCGAAAUCAGACUCGCUGGGUGGGGGGAUAUAGCGAUCGCUGUUAUGUUGCAACUGCAAGGCGCUGACCCCAGGAGUCUCCUUGUAUGCCUUCAAAGUUAAGAUGAGGUUUGGAUUGUCCAUUGUCGUCAUUGAUUCAAGGGACUAAGUAUCGAUAAAAUAUACUAGCACAUAAAGGAAAGCUCUCUCUAGAUGUGAAAUUUUAUACCAGAAAUCACGAAUGCGAACGCUCUCCAAGUAGGGAAAGUAGGGCAGAACCAUGCCAGGCAGAACGAUGUUGGGCAGCAUAGCAUGGCUGACCCUACAGUCAACCAGAAUG
rnacentral:sRNA from 1 species